CCUACGGGAGGCUGCAGUGGGGAAUAUUGCACAAUGGGGGAAACACUGAUGCAGCGACGCCGCGUGAGUGAAGAAGUAAUUCGUUACGUAAAGCUCUAUCAGCAGGGAAGAAACACUGACCUUACGGUCAGCAGACGGUACCUGAGUAAGAAGCCCCGGCUAACUACGUGCGAGCAGCGGCGGUAAUACGGAGGGGGCAAGCGUUAUCCGGAUUUACUGGGUGUUAAGGGAGCGUAGACGGUGCGCCAAGGCUGGAGUGAAAUGCCGGGGCUUAACUGCGGAACUGCGUUGGAAACUGGCGAACGAGAGUGCGGGAGGGGUAUGCGGAAGUCCUGGUGUAGCGGUGAAAUGCGUAGAUAUGAGGAGGAACACCGAUGGCGAAGGCGGCUUACGGGAGCGUAACUGACGUUGAGGCUCGAAAGCGUGGGGAGCAAACAGGAUUAGAUACCCCAGUAGUC
rnacentral:rRNA from 1 species